CAGCCAUCACCCACUGCUGGAGCCUGUGGGGCUGAGCUGGACCCCAGGGAGGAGCACUCUGUGCCAAUGCCCUGCCCUAAGGAAUCAAAUCCCAUCUCACCAUCCUGGCAGAAUGGAUUAAAAUGAACCACAGUGUGUUUGUGCUCAGAAACCUGCCCUGGUGUCCUUUGGCUGCUGGAGAAAAAAAGACUUGCAGGGGAGUAAAACUGUUUAGAGUGCAAUUCUCCUGGACAGAAGCAGCUGGAAUCUUUGUGUUAACUCUGAGGAAUGGAAGCCCCAAGGCACACAGUUCUUGCUUUAUUAACUGGGGACGUAGUUUAAAGCAAAAUUUCACCUUUCCCAUCAUUAAGGAAGAUGAAGGAGGGCAGCAUGACAAUGGUCUGCACCACAUGCCCCCUGCUCAGACACAUAAUGGAGCUGGGGAGGCUUUUCUGUGGAAACAGUCUGGUCCUGGAUUGAAAUCCUGCCCAGCUCCCUUGGAAUGA
rnacentral:lncRNA from 1 species